UGCCAGCAGCCGCGGUAAUACGAAGGGGGCGAGCGUUAUUCGGAAUUAUUGGGCGUAAAGGGCUCGCAGGCUGCUUGAACAGUUAGACGUGAAAGCCCCGGGCUCAACCUGGGAACUGCAGUUAGAACUGUCUGGCUAGAGUACAGUAGAGGGUGGCGGAAUUUCCUGUGUAGCGGUGAAAUGCGUAGAUAUAGGAAGGAACAUCAGUGGCGAAGGCGGCCACCUGGACUGAUACUGACACUGAGGUGCGAAAGCGUGGGGAGCAAACAGGAUUAGAUA
rnacentral:rRNA from 1 species